rnacentral:rRNA from 1 species
GAUCCUGGCUCAGGAUGAACGCUAGCUACAGGCUUAACACAUGCAAGUCGAGGGGCAGCAUGGUCUAGCAAUAGACCGAUGGCGACCGGCGCACGGGUGAGUAACGCGUAUCCAACCUGCCUUACACUCUUGGACAGCCUUCUGAAAGGGAGAUUAAUACAAGAUGUUAUCAUGAGUAAGCAUUUUCGCAUGAUUAAAGGUUUACCGGUGUAAGAUGGGGAUGCGUUCCAUUAG